rnacentral:rRNA from 1 species
CAAUAGCGUAUAUUAAAGUUGUUGCAAUUAAAAAGCUCGUAGUUGGAUUUCUGGUGGGAGCGAUCGGUCUGGCGCUUAGCGCGAGUACUUGCAUCGUCUCCGGCCAUCCUUGGGGAGAGUCUGUCUGGCAUUAAGUUGUCGGGCAGAGGAUCCUCAUCGUUUACUGUGAAAAAAUUAGAGUGUUCAAAGCAGGCUUAUGCCGUUGAAUAUAUUAGCAUGGAAUAAUAAGAUAGGACUUUGGUACUAUUUUGUUGGUUUGCGCACCAAAGUAAUGAUUAAUAGGGACAGUUGGGGGUAUUCGUAUUCCGUUGUCAGAGGUGAAAUUCUUGGAUUUACGGAAGACGAACUACUGCGAAAGCAUUUACCAAGGAUGUUUUCAUUAA